CUACGGGACGCUCCAGUGAUGAAUAUUGCACAAUGGGGGGAACCCUGAUGCAGCAACGCCGCGUGGAGGAUGACGCAUUUCGGUGUGUAAACUCCUUUUAUAUGUCAAGAAAAUGACGGUAGCAUAUGAAUAAGCACCGGCUAACUCCGUGCCAGCAGCCGCGGUACUACGGAGGGUGCAAGCGUUACUCGGAAUCACUGGGCGUAAAGGACGCGUAGGCGGGUUGGAAAGUCAGGUGUGAAAUCCUACAGCUUAACUGUAGAACUGCACUUGAAACUUCUAAUCUAGAGUAUGGGAGGGGGAGAUGGAAUUAGUGGUGUAGGGGUAAAAUCCGUAGAUAUCACUAGGAAUACCUAAAGCGAAGGCGAUCUCCUGGAACAUUACUGACGCUAAGGCGUGAAAGCGUGGGGAGCAAACAGGAUUAGAUACCCGGGUAGUC
rnacentral:rRNA from 1 species